CCUACGGGAGGCAGCAGUAGGGAAUAUUGCUCAAUGGGGGAAACCCUGAAGCAGCAACGCCGCGUGGAGGAUGAAGGUUUUCGGAUUGUAAACUCCUUUUGUUAGAGAAGAUAAUGACGGUAUCUAACGAAUAAGCACCGGCUAACUCCGUGCCAGCAGCCGCGGUAAUACGGAGGGUGCAAGCGUUACUCGGAAUCACUGGGCGUAAAGGGCGCGUAGGUGGGAUAGCAAGUCAGAUGUGAAAUCCUAUGGCUUAACCAUAGAACUGCAUUUGAAACUGUUAUUCUAGAGUAUGGGAGAGGUAGGUGGAAUUCGUGGUGUAGGGGUAAAAUCCGUAGAGAUCAAGAGGAAUACUCAUUGCGAAGGCGACCUGCUAGAACAUAACUGACGCUGAUGCGCGAAAGCGUGGGGAGCAAACAGGAUUAGAUAACCGGGUAGUC
rnacentral:rRNA from 1 species